rnacentral:rRNA from 1 species
UACGUAGGUGACCAGCGUUGUCCGGAUUUACUGGGCGUAAAGAGCGCGCAGGCGGUCGUUCAAGUCGAGUGUGAAAGCCCCCGGCUCAACUGGGGAGGGUCACUUGAUACUGAUCGACUCGAAGGCAGGAGAGGGAAGCGGAAUUCCCGGUGUAGUGGUGAAAUGCGCAGAUAUCGGGAGGAACACCAGUGGCGAAGGCGGCUUCCUGGCCUGUUCUUGACGCUGAGGCGCGAAAGCUAGGGAGCAAACGGG